rnacentral:rRNA from 1 species
GUCCACGCCGUAAACGAUGGGUGCUAGGUGUGGGGGGUGUCGACUCCCUCCGUGCCGAAGCUAACGCAUUAAGCACCCCGCCUGGGGAGUACGGCCGCAAGGCUAAAACUCAAAGGAAUUGACGGGGGCCCGCACAAGCAGCGGAGCAUGUGGUUUAAUUCGACGCAACGCGAAGAACCUUACCAAGGCUUGACAUGCAUUUGAAAAACCUGGAAACAGGUUCCCUCUUCGGAGCAAAUGCACAGGUGGUGCAUGGCUGUCGU